GAGGACAGAACCCUUCAGUGGAGACCUGUUUGGAUAUUGCAGGGGCUUUCUGUGCCCCGCCUAUGCGUGAUUUCAGCGCUGUGGCUGGAGUGCAAUGACACGAUCUCGGCUCAAUGCAACCUCUGCCUCCUGGGUUCAAGCAAUUCUUCUGCCUCAGCCUCCAGAGUAGCUGGCAUUACAGCAAUUACCAGCUGAUGCUGAGUAACUUCUGCCCCCUUAAAGCCAGGCACAUACUAACUGGUUCACCUCAAUCUGCACCACUCUGCUGCCCAGUGCCCAGUGUGUGGCUAUUCAAGGAUAUUGCAGUGUUUCUUUGGACCCGUGUGAGAAUUAUGUACUAUGUGGCACAAUAAAUGGGAAUACAUUGGUUUUCAA
ensembl:lncRNA novel transcript, antisense to POU4F3